CCUGAAUUGGGAGUUUCAUUUCAAAAGCCUCGAGUGGAUGAUUGAAGCAGGAAGACACAAAAAAAGGACCUCUGCUAGAUAGUCUGCUGUCAUUUUCUGCCUUGGAAAAUAAGUGGCACUUGGAAUUAAACUCUCCCGGGGAAAGUGGUAUGACUAUUGAGAAUUUUUAAGUUAAAAUCACUUUCUAUCUCUC